AAAUGAUUACUUUACACCACUGAGGUUGUCAACAUCUGAUCUAAAUAUUCAAAGCCCGCUCCCCAGUGUAAUCUGAGAGGUCUUUAUGAUCUAUCAGGCUGGGCGGGCAGAGUGUGUUUUCCACGCGGGGAGCGGCGGAGUCGUAACUCAGCCCUGACUGGAGGGGGCGAGGGCAGCACAGCCGUUGGGAAACCGUCUAACGAGUCUGAAACGCUGCUCAUGGAUGCCAGAAAUUGAUCUUCUAUGAACAUGGAGAAUCCUAUUGCUUUUGGACAUUUUUCCAUCUUCUGAGCUGGUGCCACAGGUUCUCCCAAGGAAAAAGAAAUCACUCAAACUAAUUCACAGGUACAAACAAAAUAAUCCAGAGCACUGGGAAUGUUACCGGCAUAUCAGACAGCAGAACUCAAAGACAGAAGCACUUUCACUUCUCUUAAACACCAUCUAAUGAAAAGAGCUGACUGUGUUGCGAAGUCAUGGAGGCCAUUCAGCACCCACAGUUAUCACCACUCCAUCUGUCCACAAUGGGCAUUUUAAGUCAUAUGAGUGUUCCUGAUGAACAGACAAAAAUUAAAGAGGGAAUACAUUCUAAUCAAAACUACACUGAGAGGUUUCCCUGGUUGCCAAGGUAAUAGACACUAAGUUAAAACUGAAUCUCCUCACAAGUCGUCUAGAAAAUUUAACAAAUAAGAAGAUCAAAUAAACCUACAUAAAUCCCUUGAGCUCUGAAAAAGGGAACAUUAAAUAUUUCUAAUUGACAUGAAAAAUAAACAUCUAGAUCCUG